rnacentral:rRNA from 1 species
AGUCGAACGAUGAAGGGAGCUUGCUCCUGGAUUAGUGGCGAACGGGUGAGUAACACGUGAGUAACCUGCCCUUGACUCUGGGAUAAGCCUGGGAAACUGGGUCUAAUACCGGAUAUGACUGACCGUCGCAUGGUGGUUGGUGGAAAGCUUUUGUGGUUUUGGAUGGACUCGCGGCCUAUCAGCUUGUUGGUGGGGUAAUGGCCUACCAAGGCGACGACGGGUAGCCGGCCUGAGAGGGUGACCGGCCACACUGGGACUGAGACACGGCCCAGACUCCUACGGGAGGCAGCAGUGGGGAAUAUUGCACAAUGGGCGCAAGCCUGAUGCAGCGACGCCGCGUGAGGGAUGACGGCCUUCGGGUUGUAAACCUCUUUCAGUAGGGAAGAAGCGAAAGUGACGGUACCUGCAGAAGAAGCGCCGGCUAACUACGUGCCAGCAGCCGCGGUAAUACGUAGGGCGCAAGCGUUAUCCGGAAUUAUUGGGCGUAAAGAGCUCGUAGGCGGUUUGUCGCGUCUGCCGUGAAAGUCCGGGGCUCAACUCCGGAUCUGCGGUGGGUACGGGCAGACUAGAGUGAUGUAGGGGAGACUGGAAUUCCUGGUGUAGCGGUGAAAUGCGCAGAUAUCAGGAGGAACACCGAUGGCGAAGGCAGGUCUCUGGGCAUUAACUGACGCUGAGGAGCGAAAGCAUGGGGAGCGAACAGGAUUAGAUACCCUGGUAGUCCAUGCCGUAAACGUUGGGCACUAGGUGUGGGGGACAUUCCACGUUUUCCGCGCCGUAGCUAACGCAUUAAGUGCCCCGCCUGGGGAGUACGGCCGCAAGGCUAAAACUCAAAGGAAUUGACGGGGGCCCGCACAAGCGGCGGAGCAUGCGGAUUAAUUCGAUGCAACGCGAAGAACCUUACCAAGGCUUGACAUGAACCGGAAAGACCUGGAAACAGGUCCCCCACUUGUGGUCGGUUUACAGGUGGUGCAUGGUUGUCGUCAGCUCGUGUCGUGAGAUGUUGGGUUAAGUCCCGCAACGAGCGCAACCCUCGUUCUAUGUUGCCAGCACGUGAUGGUGGGGACUCAUAGGAGACUGCCGGGGUCAACUCGGAGGAAGGUGGGGACGACGUCAAAUCAUCAUGC